rnacentral:rRNA from 1 species
GACGAACGCUGGCGGCAGGCUUAACACAUGCAAGUCGAGCGCCCCGCAAGGGGAGCGGCAGACGGGUGAGUAACGCGUGGGAAUCUACCGAGCCCUGCGGAAUAGCUCCGGGAAACUGGAAUUAAUACCGCAUACGCCCUACGGGGGAAAGAUUUAUCGGGGUUUGAUGAGCCCGCGUUGGAUUAGCUAGUUGGUGGGGU